UCAAAACUUAAAAAGGAAUGAGACUCUUUUCGCAUUGCAUCCGAUCCGAAUCCGAGAAACCUCGAUCCGAAGUAGCCGUAAUA